rnacentral:tRNA from 1 species
GGCGGAGUAGCUCAGUGGCAGAGCAGGGGACUCAUAAGUCUCUGACCGCCAGCGCUGUGCUACGAGCGUGUGAGCGCGAGCGUAACGGCCAUAAUUUCCUUGUCGAUCCCGGCCUCCGUGU